rnacentral:rRNA from 1 species
GAUGAACGCUGGCGGCGUGCCUAAUACAUGCAAGUCGAGCGAAUGACGAGGAGCUUGCUCCUCUGAUUUAGCGGCGGACGGGUGAGUAACACGUGGGUAACCUGCCUGUAAGACGGGGAUAACUCCGGGAAACCGGAGCUAAUACCGGAUGAUAACGAGAAGCGCCUGCUUCUUUUUUGAAAGUCGGUUUCGGCUGACGCUUACAGAUGGGCCCGCGGCGCAUUAGCUAGUUGGUGAGGUAACGGCUCACCAAGGCGACGAUGCGUAGCCGACCUGAGAGGGUGAUCGGCCACACUGGGACUGAGACACGGCCCAGACUCCUACGGGAGGCAGCAGUAGGGAAUCUUCGGCAAUGGACGAAAGUCUGACCGAGCAACGCCGCGUGAGCGAUGAAGGCCUUCGGGUCGUAAAGCUCUGUAGUCAGAGAAGAACAAGUACCGGAGUAACUGCCGGUACCUUGACGGUACCUGACCAGAAAGCCACGGCUAACUACGUGCCAGCAGCCGCCGUAAAAC